rnacentral:rRNA from 1 species
UGCCUAGACAUGCAGUCGAACGGGCUGUUUAUGCAGCCAGUGGCGGACGGGUGAGUAACACGUAGGUGACCUACCCCAAAGUCUGGGACAACUAGGAGAAAUCUUAGCUAAUCCUGGAUGUGGACAUCUACUUUGGUGGAUGUUUAAAGCUUCGGCGCUUUGGGAUGGGCCUGCGGCGCAUCAGGUAGUUGGUGGGGUAAUGGCCUACCAAGCCGACGACGCGUAGCUGGUCUGAGAGGACGAUCAGCCACAGGGGUACUGAGACACGGACCCCACUCCUACGGGAGGCAGCAGUUAGGAAUCUUCCGCAAUGGGCGAAAGCCUGACGGAGCGAUACCGCUUGAAGGACGAAGCCCUUCGGGGUGUAAACUUCUGAACUCGGGACGAUAAUGACGGUACCGAGGUAAUAGCACCGGCUAACUCCGUGCCAGCAGCCGCGGUAAUACGGAGGGUGCGAGCGUUACCCGGAUUUACUGGGUGUAAAGGGCGUGUAGGCGGUCUCUCAAGUCCGAUGCUAAAGACCGAAGCUCAACUUCGGGGGUGCGUUGGAUACUGUGAGGCUAGACGGUCGGAGAGGGUAGCGGAAUUUCCGGAGUAGCGGUGAAAUGCGCAGAUACCGGAAGGAACGCCAAUAGCGAAAGCAGCUACCUGGACGAUUUGUGACGCUGAGGCGCGAAAGCGUGGGGAGCAAACCGGAUUAGAUACCCGGGUAGUCCACGCCCUAAACGAUGAGUGCUGGGUGUCCGACAUCUGUUGGGUGCCGUAGCUAACGCGUUAAGCACUCCACCUGGGAAGUACGGUCGCAAGACUGAAACUCAAAGGAAUUGACGGGGGCCCGCACAAGCGGUGGAGCAUGUGGUUUAAUUCGAAGCAACGCGCAGAACCUUACCAGGUCUUGACAUCCACGGAACCCUGGUGAAAGCCGGGGGUGCCCGCAAGGGAGCCGUGAGACAGGUGCUGCAUGGUCGUCGUCAGCUCGUGUCGUG